AUAAGUUAGGGGUAUAGGUAUGUAUAUACAUAUUUUAUAUAUAUUGUAUAUCCUUUAUUUUAUACCUUGGGACCGUGGGAAACAGUAUUUCGAUCGUUCUGUGUGUUCAAACAUAUUUUGAGAUUGACAAUAAAGUUGACUUUGACUUGAUUAGAGAAACACCGCUGUGUUACCUGUUCUCUGUUGAUCUCUGUUUCUCAGGAUCAUGGAAGCUACCAGCUGCUGCUGCUGUAACAAUCCCUGUUGUUCUCCUGGCUGUCAUUUCUCUCUCUGUCUUCCUGUGGAUCAGAAGAAAGAGGGCUUCUAGAGACUCGUCUGAGCCUGAAGAGAGAGCGGACACCAGGGAAGAGCCGGAGCAGCAGGAUGACCUUCAGUAUGCCAGCGUUCACUUCUCCAACAACCGGGCAGACCCUCUUUACUCCAACAUGAGAGCAACUCGGCCCCUCAGACACACGGAGCAACAGGAAGUCCCGGAGUACGCAGCCGUCAAGUUCAGCAGUGCUGCCCCGAGGACCAGAGGGCAGGACCCUGGAGAGGAUCCAGCUGCAUUUUACAGCACGGUCAACAAAUCCAGAUAAACACAGCAGGCGUUGCUUUUGAAUGAUGAUACUUCAGUUUUUUAACAAUCACAUUUCUAUGUCCACAGGGUAAUGUGGAUUUAUUAAAUACAUGUCUCAGGGUGGACCUCUCCAAGAAUGAGGCGAUGACUUUUCAGCCUAGUUUUUAUUAAUCUGAAUGGCUCAAAUGUAAAGAUUUUGUUAAGUAUUUCACAGCUUAAUGUACUGAAUUGUAAAUAUUUCUUUUGUAACAUGAUUUUUGCCGCAAAGAAAUUCCAAAAUGUAGAGAUGUUGCAACAAGGGAUCUGAUCCCUAACUGCUGGCUGGUUGGAACAUGUAGAUAUUACUAAAGAGUUAUAAUUUACUGAUGAAAAAACAACUUCCAUUGUUUUGUAAGAACAUUUAUCAACUUUAUUCAAAUAAUAUUUCUUUACAAUGUUCUUCUUCUUGUCUAGACUGAAAUAUCAACAACUACUUCCAAAAUAAAUGUAGUUUUUGAAAAGCACAUUAGGAUAGUGAUGUGUCGGUCGCGAACGAGCCGAUUCUUUUGAGCGGCUCUUUGGUACGAACGAGGGGAACCGAGUCGUACUUGGUGAGAGCCGUUCUUUUUAUCGUUCA